GUACUUCUGAAGAGUCCCAAACUGGAGCGAAACAGCUGUCCAGUAC
rnacentral:hammerhead_ribozyme from 1 species